CACACUCGGACCACACUCACACGCACGCACACGUUGUUGCCCCGCGCGCCACCAUGGUUAUCUCACGCCUGACCCGCCACCGCGGCCUAGGAUUCCUGGACUCCACGAGCGCACGAUCCCAUGCUCGCCCGCGACGUCGUGUCGCGGCGAGCCAAGCUUUGCUCUGUUCUGCUCCAUCUUGGCCUGCCCUUUCUUUGCCGCCGCUCCGCCUUGACCCAACCUCUCCUCGACCUUGCCUUGCCCGAGCCAUAGGUGAAGGAAGAUCGUCCCGUCGUCGUCGCCGCCUGGAGGUCGCUCCGCCGUUAGCCCGCACCGUCGCCGCCCGCUGUGCUGCUCCGCCGCCUGGAGCCUUCCUGCCUUGCUCUGCCCUGGAUCCGCCCCUUGCGACGCCGCCGCGGGCUCGGAGUGCCGGAUUCCCCGCGCGCAUCGCGCACGCUGUUGUCUCGCCAUCGUUCCCGUGCUCAGGCGCUACCCCACGCACACGCCGUCAUGGCCACCACCGCAACCCUGGUUCCGCCAAGGCCGUGCCCUGCCACAGCUCAGACCCCGCCUUACCGCCGACCCUGCUGCCCGAGUGCGCCACCAUCCUGGCCGACCUCGUCCAGCCGCGCCGCCGGAGCGCCCUCGCCAUCGCCGCCUGGAAGCAUCGCUCGUGCCGCGCCGGCCCAAGACUGCCUGCGAAGAAAAGAAGAAGAGGAGAAGAAGUGACGGGUCGCCGUUCCCCCUCCGGCCCAGUCUGCGAGCCGUUCUUACCGAGCCGAGCCGAGCCGAGCCGGCCCGCUUACCCGAACUGAGCUGGCCUGCCAAGUCGACGAACCAAGCCAGCCCGAUGAGCCGUGGACCAAGCCGGUCCGAGAAGCCGAGCCAAGCUUCUUGGGCCUACCCGAGCCGGCCUUUUCCGCUUUCAACCCAGCAAACCAAGCCACCUUCUUUUUCUUUUUCCUUUUUGCCCAGCUGGCAUGCGGGUCCCACGCAUCAACCUCAGUAUGAGGAUGACAGGUGGGACCACUGACUCGUGGACCCGCUGACCUGGACGUUGACCGUUGACUGUGUGUUUUUCUUUUUCUUUUUCCGAAAAUUAGUUAAUAAUUUUAGAAAUAGAUUUAGGCUUCAAAAAUUGAUAAUAAAUUAACCGGAGCUCCGAAAAUUAUAAAACCAGUUUCAUAAUUUUUCUAAAAUCAUGAUCUACCCGUUAAAGUAGGUUUUGGUGUGAUUUGGAUCUUAUUUGGAUACUUUUGUGCACUUUUGCACUUUGGCCCCCUUGGUAAUUCGUAUUUACGAAUAGGCCCUUAGCGAGGAGGAGCUGAUCGACGCCCAGAGGACCCAGGAGGACGUCCCGGACAACGAGAAGACUCUGAAGACCUAGGACGACUACGAGAAGUCUCAGUUUGGUAGAUGCAGGAUCCGACUCGAAGAUCGACGAUGACUUGAAGGAAGGACUAAGGACGACUCGUGCUUCGCUCAAGUUUGCCUGUGGAUGAAAGACGACGUCAAGAUGAAGGAUGCCCCAGAAGUCUAGCUACUGCUUCCGUUUUCUGGUUGUACCAGAUGAUUUCGUACCACAAUCCGCUGGAUUAUGUAAUAAUUAAACCUUUGUUGUGUUUUAUCGCGAAGUAUGACUGUGAUAUGUAAUUGAAAUGAGUUCUGUAUGUGAUAGCUACUGAUCCAGGGACUAUCACGACGAUACAGGGAGUCGGGUUGUCCGUUCGACAACCCGGUUCGUUUCAGAUGCAAAUAUUCUCAUGAUGGUUCAGACUUCAUACACA